CCUACGGGAGGCAGCAGUAGGGAAUAUUGCUCAAUGGGGGAAACCCUGAAGCAGCAACGCCGCGUGGAGGAUGAAGGUUUUCGGAUUGUAAACUCCUUUUGUUAGAGAAGAUAAUGACGGUAUCUAACGAAUAAGCACCGGCUAACUCCGUGCCAGCAGCCGCGGUAAUACGGAGGGUGCAAGCGUUACGCGGAAUCACUGGGCGGAAAGAGCGCGUAGGCGGGAUAGCAAGUCAGAUGUGAAAUCCUAUGGCUUAACCAUAGAACUGCAUUUGAAACUGUUAUUCUAGAGUAUGGGGGAGGUAGGUGGAAUUCUUGGUGUAGGGGUAAAAUCCGUAGAGAUCAAGAGGAAUACUCAUGGCGAAGGCGACCUGCUAGAACAUAACUGACGCUGAUGCGCGAAAGCGUGGGGAGCAAACAGGAUUAGAUACCCGGGUAGUC
rnacentral:rRNA from 1 species